rnacentral:rRNA from 1 species
GACGAACGCUGGCGGUAUGCCUAACACAUGCAAGUCGAACGAGAUUUCUUUUUGUUUACAGAGAAGGAAUUGCAGUGGCGGACGGGUGAGGAACACGUAAGAACUUACCUUUUGGCGGGGGAUAACAACGGGAAACUGUUGCUAAUACCCCAUAAUGCUGAGGAGCGAAAGGGAAACUGCCAAGAGAGAGGCUUGCGUCUGAUUAGCUAGUUGGCGGAGGUAAAGGCUCCCCAAGGCGACGAUCAGUAGCUGGUCUGAGAGGAUGAUCAGCCACACUGGGACUGAGACACGGCCCAGACACCUACGGGAGGCAG